CCUACGGGAGGCAGCAGUGAGGAAUAUUGGUCAAUGGGCUUACGCCUGAACCAGCCAAGUCGCGUGAGGGAAGACUGCCCUAUGGGUUGUAAACCUCUUUUGUCAGGGAGCAAUUGGCGCUACGUGUAGCGUUAUCGAGAGUACCUGAAGAAAAAGCAUCGGCUACAUCCGUGCCAGCAGCCGCGGUAAUACGGAGGAUGCGAGCGUUAUCCGGAUUUAUUGGGUUUAAAGGGUGCGUAGGCGGAAUGCCAAGUCAGCGGUAAAAUCGCGGGGCUCAACCUCGCUCCGCCGUUGAAACUGGCGGUCUUGAGUGGGCGAGAGGUAUGCGGAAUGCGUGGUGUAGCGGUGAAAUGCAUAGAUAUCACGCAGAACUCCGAUUGCGAAGGCAGCAUACCGGCGGCCAACUGACGCUGAAGCACGAAAGCGUGGGUAUCGAACAGGAUUAGAUACCCGAGUAGUC
rnacentral:rRNA from 1 species